AUUGAACGCUGGCGGCAUGCCUUACACAUGCAAGUCGAACGGUAACAGGUCUUCGGAUGCUGACGAGUGGCGAACGGGUGAGUAAUACAUCGGAACGUGCCUAGUAGUGGGGGAUAACUACUCGAAAGAGUGGCUAAUACCGCAUGAGAUCUACGGAUGAAAGCAGGGGAUCGCAAGACCUUGUGCUACUAGAGCGGCCGAUGGCAGAUUAGGUAGUUGGUGGGAUAAAAGCUUACCAAGCCGACGAUCUGUAGCUGGUCUGAGAGGACAAUCAGCCACACUGGGACUGAGACACGGCCCAGACUCCUACGGGAGGCAGCAGUGGGGAAUUUUGGACAAUGGGCGAAAGCCUGAUCCAGCAAUGCCGCGUGCAGGAUGAAGGCCUUCGGGUUGUAACCUGCUUUUGUACGGAACGAAAAGCCCCGGGUUAAUACCCUGGGGUCAUGACGGUACCGUAAGAAUAAGCACCGGCUAACUACGUGCCAGCAGCCGCGGUAA
rnacentral:rRNA from 1 species